AUUGAACGCUGGCGGCAUGCCUUACACAUGCAAGUCGAACGGUAACAGGUCUUCGGAUGCUGACGAGUGGCGAACGGGUGAGUAAUACAUCGGAACGUGCCCGAUCGUGGGGGAUAACGAGGCGAAAGCUUUGCUAAUACCGCAUACGAUCUACGGAUGAAAGCGGGGGAUCUUCGGACCUCGCGCGGACGGAGCGGCCGAUGGCAGAUUAGGUAGUUGGUGGGAUAAAAGCUUACCAAGCCGACGAUCUGUAGCUGGUCUGAGAGGAUGAUCAGCCACACUGGGACUGAGAAACGGCCCAGACUCCUACGGGAGGCAGCAGUGGGGAAUUUUGGACAAUGGGCGAAAGCCUGAUCCAGCCAUGCCGCGUGCAGGAUGAAGGCCUUUGGGUUGUAAACUGCUUUUGUACGGAACGAAAAGCCUCUUUCUAAUAAAGAGGGGUCAUGACGGUACCGUAAGAAUAAGCACCGGCUAACUACGUG
rnacentral:rRNA from 1 species